rnacentral:rRNA from 1 species
GUAGUCUCGCACAGAUGCAUAUCAAUAAGCGGAGGAAAAGAAACUAACAAGGAUUCCCCUAGUAACGGCGAGUGAAGCGGGAAGAGCUCAAAUUUGAAAUCUUAAAGGGUUUCCCUUUACGAAUUGUAGUUUAAAGAAGUGUUUUCUGUUGAGGUUUUGGUAAAAGUUCUUUGGAAUAGGACAUCAUAGAGGGUGAGAAUCCCGUAUUUGACCUUUACUUUCAACUUUGUGAUACACUUUCAAAGAGUCGGAUUGUUUGGGAAUGCAGUCCAAAGUGGGUGGUAAAUUUCAUCUAAAGCUAAAUAUUGGCGAGAGACCGAUAGCGAACAAGUACCGUGAGGGAAAGAUGAAAAGAACUUUGAAAAGAGAGUUAAACAGUACGUGAAAUUGUCAAAAGGGAAGCGUUUGACACCAGUGUUGUUUUUCUGAAAAUCAAUUAAAGAACUGUUUAUGCUAAGCUGUUUAGACUUUAUCAGCUAACUGUUUAGUUUUGAGCUUUUCUUUAAUGCACUUUUCAGUUAACAAGUCAACAUCAAUUUCUUUUGCUGUAAAAAAGCUUGAGGAAGGUGGCUUGAGAUUCGUCUUAAGUGUUUAUAGCCUCUUGCCUAUGCAGUCGGAGAGAUUGAGGUCUGCAGCGUAGAUCCUUCGGGGCUAAAUGCAUUUGUGCUAAGUUAUAGCAUUUUAUAGACAACUUGUUGACUAUGAUUUGUCUUGUAGCUUACUCGCUUAUGUUAUUUUACCUACGCAUUAGGAUGUUGAAGACUCUACAGAGAU